GUACCUGCAAAAUAUUGUGUAUUUCAUAAUCUUUAUAUUAAAUUUUCUCAAGCUGGUGAGAGUAAGCUUAACAAUCUGUUAAGCCCCUUAUGUGAGCAACAUUUCUCUAGUUAAAAGGAAUGAAGUAGCCAAACUAGGACCCACCUGUCCACAUUCAGCCUGGCAGCCAGCAUACGCCAGUCAUUCCCCCGGGCAUUUGGUGGGUCAAGGCAACGGCAGAGCUCCCACCGCAGCCUCUGUGGGAGGCGGAACACUCCAGGCUCGGGAGUCAGCUCCACCAGAGAGGAACAGCCACUGCUGGAUGUCACUGGUACCAAGGAAGAUUUCAUUACAAUGAGUCAAUCAGUUGUAUUAUUAAGCUAACUGAGCUAGACCUGUAACAACAACAUUAAAUUUAUUCUAAUAGCUAUACAUUGAAAUACUAGUUUAUUUACUUAUUUUGGUAUCUGCUUCUUUUGUCUCUUCUGCAUUGAAAGCAUGCCUGAACGUUUUUUCCAUAUUGUAUCCAUCUUCACAAAUGUUCUUUACUGUUAUGUACCUUUAAUAAGGAAUCAGGUUCUCUAAGAGUGUCUAUCAAUAUAUAGGCAUGACUUGUGUACCUGUGGAGGUUCUUGGAGCAAGGUGUGCUGGGGAGGCUGUCACCGGUGCAUAGGGAAAAUCAGAGUUGAUUCUGAUGACCUGCCGGUGAGUAGAAGAUCCUUUCUGUUGUGCCACCAUUCUGCAGGCCAGAGGAGCUGAGGAUCCUUCAGUUCGCUCCAGAGUGAAUGAUAUACUCACAGGAUCACUCUUGGCACCCCACAGUUUCUCAAAGGAAAUUUCCUGAGGAGAGAAGUAAAUAUUAAUCAGUAUUAUACAAAUGGGAAGAGUGCUUUAAACAAGCAUUUUGCAGUUGCAUCCACAAAAGAUUGAAAUCUUACCUUAGAAGAUUACAAUGAGUUAACACGAAUGAUAGUAUGUAUAUAUGAUGUUAAUCUAAUUUGCAAGAAUUUGGGUAAAACAUUAUUGAUAAUGUGAAAUGCUGAAAUACUGUGUUACCAAAUACUUUUUUUUGUAUUGAUAUACCCUAAUCUAAUUAAUGGCUGAGUUAGAUUUGUCCUAACCUUGUACUGGUGACCAGGUCUGAUACGCCAGCCAGGGCCAAGGUCAUCUAGUGUGAGGCACAGGUUGGCACCACAGUCCUGGAGAAGCAUCAUCUUUGGUUUGUCUAGAAGGGAGGCUCCUCGGCGCUUUUCCUGCUGCGUCACACCUGCAUCAAAGUGCCAUGACAUCGAUAAUCCAGGAUUGAUCAAAUAAGUACAAUCUAUAAUUUUUAAUGAUCAAUCUGAUCUCAGAUAUAUCUGAGAUCAAUCACAAUAAUACUGUCUGUUCAGUAAGCUCAAGCUUGUGCUACUGAAAGUCCUGCCAAGUGAUGCUUUCUCAAAUCACAUGUAGCUAAAUCGAAAAUGACCAACUUUUCUUUGUUUAAAAAAAGAGUGGGCUUACAGGCGAGGGCUGCUGAGGUGUCUUGCAUGACGUGAAGAGUGACGGUGAGAGUGCCAGCCGGAGUAGGGGGAGGGGCAGAGGUCACCACCUUCACCUGCUUAACGGCAGCAUUUGAUCCAGCACUCUCACCCACCAGCACAAACUUCUGCAUCAAUUCUGUCAUCAUGUGCACCUGUGAAAGAUCCUAGUCUUAGUCCAAUACACUAUGCACCCAGAAGUCCAACCACAGCUCAGCUGGGCAUGCAUCCACAGCAAAGAGUGACAUGCAACACAGGUUCUUUCCCUACCUGAGCUCCAUCAAGCUGAGUGAAGACUGGUGUGUCGAUCCGUUCCUCUCCCAUGGUGAUCAGUCUUGUCCAGGGCUCCUCUCCACCACUGCUGUUGUUGGGUGGGGAGGAAGACGACCCUGAUGAUGUGGAAGAGGAGGUCUGUGUGUUGCUGAUUUGUGUGGAAAAGAUGUGGAGCUGCCAUGUGGCAUGCUGGAGGGAGGCACAGUGUUCAAAGGACAGCACAGCAGGCUUGAGGAGGGACCCGCCGCCCACCAGCCCACAGCACACCACGGGGCUCAGCAGUGUCUGCAAGGUCAAAUGCUUAUGUUUUUCACUCAGAACUGUUGUAAAUUUUAAUGUAAUUACAAAACUUCACAAUA